AGUUUGAUCCUGGCUCAGAACAACGCUGGCGGCAUGCCUAACACAUGCAAGUCGAACGAGACCUUCGGGUCUAGUGGCGCACGGGUGCGUAACGCGUGGGAACCUGCCUUUAGGUUCGGAAUAACUCAGAGAAAUUUGAGCUAAUACCGGAUAAUGUCUUCGGACCAAAGAUUUAUCGCCUUUAGAUGGGCCCGCGUUGGAUUAGCUAGUUGGUGGGGUAAAGGCCUACCAAGGCGACGAUCCAUAGCUGGUCUGAGAGGAUGAUCAGCCACACUGGGACUGAGACACGGCCCAGACUCCUACGGGAGGCAGCAGUGGGGAAUAUUGGACAAUGGGCGAAAGCCUAAUCCAGCAAUGCCGCGUGAGUGAUGAAGGCCUUAGGGUUGUAAAGCUCUUUUGCCAGGGAAGAUGAUGACUGUACCUGGAGAAUAAGCCCCGGCUAACUUCGUG
rnacentral:rRNA from 1 species